rnacentral:misc_RNA from 1 species
UUUGUUUUUUAAUUAAAAACUAGAAUGAAAGGUUAUACAUUCAAAUUUCUUUAUUAAUUUUUUAAUAAAUAAUUUAUAUUAAAUAUAAAAAUAUAUUUACAAAAAAAAAAGACGACAAGACCCUAUUAAAUUUUACUUAUAGUUUAGCUGGGGAAGCUUUUCAAUUAAAAUUUUUUUAAAAAAUUAAAUAAAUAUCUAAUAAAAUUAAAAUUUUAAUAAAUUACUAUAGGGAUAACAGCAUUAUAUUUUUUAAAAGUUCAUAUUAAAAAAAAUGAUUGUGACCUCGAUGUUGAAUUAUAUUUUCUAUAUUUAAUGCAAUAAUUAUAUAAGUAGAUCUGUUCGAUCUUUAAAAUAUUACAUGAUUUGAGUUCAAACCGGUGUAAACCAGGUUGGUUUCUAUCUUUUUAUAUAUUUUUCUAGUACGAAAGGACAAAAAAAUUUUUAUUUUAAUAAAUUAGCAAAUAAAUGCAUUAGAUUUAGAAUCUAAAUAUAUAUAUAAUU